AAACUCAAAUGAAUUGACGGGGAGCACCACAACGGGUGGAGCUUGCGGUUUAAUUGGAUUCAACGCCGGAAAUCUUACCGGGACCGACAGCAAUAUGAAGGCCAGGCUGAAGACUUUGCCGGAUUAGCUGAGAGGUGGUGCAUGGCCGUCGUCAGUUCGUACUGUGAAGCAUCCUGUUAAGUCAGGCAACGAGCGAGACCCACGCCCACAGUUGCCAGCGUACUCUCCGGAGUGACGGGUACACUGUGGGACCGCCGCUGCUAAAGCGGAGGAAGGAAUGGGCAACGGUAGGUCAGUAUGCCCCGAAUAUCCCGGGCUACACGCGAGCUACAAUGGUUGGUACAAUGGGUAUCUACCCCGAAAGGGGACGGGAAUCUCCUAAAACCAAUCUUAGUUCGGAUUGAGGGCUGCAACUCGCCCUCAUGAAGCUGGAAUCCGUAGUAAUCGCGUUUCAACAGAACGCGGUGAAUACGUCCCUGCUCCUU
rnacentral:rRNA from 1 species